UUAUGGCUUUUCAUCUUCCAUUUUGAUCGAUCGAAGCUCCUCUCAAUCAAUCAAAAUCCAUUUGGAUCGAUCGAAGUAAGUGAUUGAUCGAUCGAAGACAGCUUCGAUCAAUCGAAAUUACGUCUUUUGAACUUCCAGAAAAUGCUUUGGCCAUUGGCCUUCCUACCCCAACCUUAUUUUUUUUUUUUUUUUAAUGUUUUUUUUCUCUCUCCUCCCUUAUUUUGUUUUUCUUCUUAUUUUCUUUUCUUUUCUUUCUCUCUCUACCUCUUCCUCUCCCUCUUACGUUCGGCUUUCUCUCUCCUUGAUUUUCCUAUCUCUUCUCUCUCAAUCUUCCCUCUCAAUCUCUUCCUCCGGCAAGACGAACCGAGACCAACCCUAACCUUCUCCUUAUCUCCAAUGCCGGCAAACCCCACCACAUCUCGCCGCCGUCAUCCAACCUCUAUUCUUUCCGGUGAAGGAUUUUUGGCCCAAGGGCCAAACUGGCAUCUCUAUUUCUUGAAUCCCUUCCGGGUAACCUCUUAUUCAUCGUCUCUGGCCGAUUUAGGCCAGAGAUAGUUUCAUCUCCAACUCUGGUGACCUCUGUAAUUUUCGGUCACCCCCAACGAGCUUCUGGUCACCCCCUCGGGCUACGGUAUUCAUUAGGAGUAGGGAUUGUUCAAGCUGAGCAGGGAUCGUCUACUUCAUUCUUCCGGAUUGUCUACAUAGGAGUUCCCUUUGUGAUUUAUGUAUCUAGUUGUAGACCGUUAAUUGUUCAGUAUUAGUUUUCCAAGGGGUCCACAUAUUAUGGAUUCCCGAGUUGUAUAAAUUGGAGGAUUACUUGUAUCAGAAGAAUUUAUUAAUGAAAUUUUAUUAUGAGGUUUUAUUUA